AGUGGCGAACGGGUGAGUAACGCGUGAGUAACCUGCCCUGGAGUGGGGGACAACAGUUGGAAACGACUGCUAAUACCGCAUAAGCCCACGGUACCGCAUGGUACUGAGGGAAAAGGAUUUAUUCGCUUUAGGAUGGACUCGCGUCCAAUUAGCUAGUUGGUGAGGUAACGGCCCACCAAGGCGACGAUUGGUAGCCGGACUGAGAGGUUGAACGGCCACAUUGGGACUGAGACACGGCCCAGACUCCUACGGGAGGCAGCAGUGGGGGAUAUUGCACAAUGGGGGAAACCCUGAUGCAGCGACGCCGCGUGGAGGAAGAAGGUUUUCGGAUUGUAAACUCCUGUCGUUAGGGACGAUAAUGACGGUACCUAACAAGAAAGCACCGGCUAACUACGUGCCAGCAGCCGCGGUAAAACGUAGGGUGCAAGCGUUGUCCGGAAUUACUGGGUGUAAAGGGAGCGCAGGCGGGAAGACAAGUUGGAAGUGAAAACCAUGGGCUCAACCCAUGAAUUGCUUUCAAAACUGUUUUUCUUGAGUAGUGCAGAGGUAGAUGGAAUUCCCGGUGUAGCGGUGGAAUGCGUAGAUAUCGGGAGGAACACCAGUGGCGAAGGCGGUCUACUGGGCACCAACUGACGCUGAGGCUCGAAAGCAUGGGUAGCAAACAGGAUUAGAUACCCUGGUAGUCCAUGCCGUAAACGGUGAUUACUAGGUGUUGGGGGAUUGACCCCCUCAGUGCCGCAGUUAACACAAUAAGUAAUCCACCUGGGGAGUACGACCGCA
rnacentral:rRNA from 1 species